AGCCCAGCUUGCUGGGUGGAUUAGUGGCGAACGGGUGAGUAACACGUGAGCAACCUGCCCCUGACUCUGGGAUAACAGCCGGAAACGGUUGCUAAUACCGGAUAUGCAUCAUGGCCGCAUGGUCUGUGGUGGGAAAGAUUUUUCGGUUGGGGAUGGGCUCGCGGCCUAUCAGCUUGUUGGUGAGGUAGUGGCUCACCAAGGCGUCGACGGGUAGCCGGCCUGAGAGGGUGACCGGCCACACUGGGACUGAGACACGGCCCAGACUCCUACGGGAGGCAGCAGUGGGGAAUAUUGCACAAUGGGCGGAAGCCUGAUGCAGCAACGCCGCGUGAGGGAUGACGGCCUUCGGGUUGUAAACCUCUUUUAGCAGGGAAGAAGCGAAAGUGACGGUACCUGCAGAAAAAGCGCCGGCUAACUACGUGCCAGCAGCCGCGGUAAUACGUAGGGCGCAAGCGUUAUCCGGAAUUAUUGGGCGUAAAGAGCUCGUAGGCGGUUUGUCGCGUCUGCUGUGAAAACCCGAGGCUCAACCUCGGGCCUGCAGUGGGUACGGGCAGACUAGAGUGCGGUAGGGGAGAUUGGAAUUCCUGGUGUAGCGGUGGAAUGCGCAGAUAUCAGGAGGAACACCGAUGGCGAAGGCAGAUCUCUGGGCCGUUACUGACGCUGAGGAGCGAAAGGGUGGGGAGCAAACAGGCUUAGAUACCCUGGUAGUCCACCCCGUAAACGUUGGGAACUAGUUGUGGGGGCCUUUCCACGGUCUCCGUGACGCAGCUAACGCAUUAAGUUCCCCGCCUGGGGAGUACGGCCGCAAGGC
rnacentral:rRNA from 1 species